UACAGAGGUCUCAAGCGUUGUUCGGAUUCAUUGGGCGUAAAGGGUGCGUAGGCGGUGUGGCAAGUCGGGAGUGAAAUCUCUGGGCUCAACCCAGAGUCUGCUUCCGAAACUGCUGUGCUUGAGUGUGGGAGAGGCGCGUGGAAUUGCAGGUGUAGCGGUGAAAUGCGUAGAUAUCUGCAGGAACACCCGUGGCGAAAGCGGCGCGCUGGACCACUACUGACGCUGAGGAACGAAAGCUAGGGGAGCAAACAGG
rnacentral:rRNA from 1 species